ACGCUGACAGAAUGCUUAACACAUGCAAGUCUACUUGAACUUCGGUUUGGGUGGCGGACGGGUGAGUAACGCGUAAAGAACUUGCCUCACAGUUAGGGACAACAUUUGGAAACGAAUGCUAAUACCUGAUAUUAUGAUUUUAGGGCAUCCUAAGAUUAUGAAAGCUAUAUGCGCUGUGAGAGAGCUUUGCGUCCCAUUAGCUAGUUGGAGAGGUAACGGCUCACCAAGGCGAUGAUGGGUAGCCGGCCUGAGAGGGUGAACGGCCACAAGGGGACUGAGACACGGCCCUUACUCCUACGGGAGGCAGCAGUGGGGAAUAUUGGACAAUGGACCAAAAGUCCGAUCCAGCAAUUCUGUGUGCACGAUGACGUUUUUCGGAAUGUAAAGUGCUUUCAGUUGGGAAGAAAAAAAUGACGGUACCAACAGAAGAAGUGACGGCUAAAUACGUGCCAGCAGCCGCGGUAAUACGUAUGUCACAAGCGUUAUCCGGAUUUAUUGGGCGUAAAGCGCGUCUAGGUGGUUAUGUAAGUCUGAUGUGAAAAUGCAGGGCUCAACUCUGUAUUGCGUUGGAAACUGCAUGACUAGAGUACUGGAGAGGUAAGCGGAACUACAAGUGUAGAGGUGAAAUUCGUAGAUAUUUGUAGGAAUGCCGAUGGGGAAGCCAGCUUACUGGACAGAUACUGACGCUAAAGCGCGAAAGCGUGGGUAGCAAACAGGAUUAGAUACCCUGGUAGUCCACGCCGUAAACGAUGAUUACUAGGUGUUGGGGGUCGAACCUCAGCGCCCAAGCUAACGCGAUAAGUAAUCCGCCUGGGGAGUACGUACGCAAGUAUGAAACUCAAAGGAAUUGACGGGGACCCGCACAAGCGGUGGAGCAUGUGGUUUAAUUCGACGCAACGCGAGGAACCUU
rnacentral:rRNA from 1 species